GGUCCCAUGGCUUAGAUGGCAAAGCGCCUGCCUAGUAAACCGGAGAUCAUGAGUUCGAGUCUCAUUGGGAUCU
rnacentral:tRNA from 1 species